UGGGAUUAGAUACCCCACUAUUCUAAAAUAGUAUACCCACUUUAGGGUAGUAAAAUUACAUAAAAUUUAAACCCAAACAAUAUGGCGGCUGUUUAAACUUAUUAGGGGAACUUACCACAUAAUUGAUAGCCACCAAGUGGUCUUACUUAAAUUUAAAGUUUGUAUAUCGUCGUCGUCAAAGCUGCUUCUAGAGGGGCUUUCGAUAUUUAUUUUAAUAAAAAGACAGAUCAAGGCGCAGCACAUAUUUAAGAGAUAAGGCGAGUUACAAUAACAAUUUUAUUCGGAGAUUUAUUAAAAAUUAUCAUAAGGCGGACUUAAAAGUAAUAAUGAAUAAAAUUAUAUUAUGAAUCAUUAUAUUAGGCAGUGUACACACCGCCCGUCACCCU
rnacentral:rRNA from 1 species